UAUGGUACUGAGCACUCAGAGUAUGUCGUCUCAUUUUGUUCUCACAACCAUCUUACAAAGUAGGACAUGUUGAAAAUAAGAUAAGCAAACUGAGAGGGCUGAGUCAAGGCCAGGUUUUCUGAUGCAAGUUCAGUGCAGCUUCACUCCUCACAGCUACGCCAGGUUGGCCCCUCUCCACUCCUGACGUCAGGGCCAUCUGAGGGGAGGACAUGGCUGUCAGCUGGGAAGAGUGAAAUGGGCAAAGACUGCGUCACGGCUGGAAGGGAUCGUGGCAAGGGCACAGGCAGCAGGAAAGCUGGGUUUUACAGCCAGGCCUGUGGUCUACCAAGAAUGUUGUUCUUCUCAGAGAAGACUAGAAAAGCUCUGCCCAGACAUCGGAGACCAUUUCCAUCAAUCUCUUUCCUGGCUGCCAUAUGUCCACCUGGAACCAAUGAGAGAGACAACUGUACAGAGACUUUUUGUUUUUCAUUUUAGUGUUGUUCUAAGAAGUUACCAAAAUACAUCAUGAAAUUAUCGCAAUUAAGUUUACCCAAAAGCUACAAUGUACACUAUUUUCAGCCCAUCUAUUCCCAUCUCCAGCCAUGCCUGGCUACAUUUUCCUGUAAAGCUCAACAGCUAGAAUGUGCAUCAGAUAAUAGUGCUAAAUGGUUCAAAUAGAAUAUGGCCAGGGUUACAAAAAGCAUCCACUUUGCCUGCAUACACCCCUGCAAAAUUCAGCUCCACAGAUUUUUCCUCUUUUGUUACCACUCCAGCAAUCCCAUGAGACAGGCAGAAGUUGUCUAGCCCCAGAGGACCCAUGAGAUUACAUGACAUCUCCAAGAUCUUAGCAAGAGUAAAAUCUAAGUCAAGGACUCACAUUCCUGAUUAGUUGAGGACUCCAGCUUUGCACCUGUGGCUUGGAGCAGGCAUGCACACACAGGCGGAAUAGGUAAUUUUAGCAGUGCUGCUACCAGAAGAAAUUCAACAUCCCCUGCUGGAUCUAGCCUGCAGUGCCCUGGUUAGAACUUGAUCCUCACAGCUAAGGCUUGAGUCCUUGUAAUGCAAAUACCCAGGGCAUCCAUGCUCCCUCCGAUCCCAGCACCUACACCUUGUAGUCAGGAAGCCAGUUAUUUCAGGACUCGGACGAAUGCUGCACCUGAUCCUCCUCAGGCUUCUGAGAAAGUCCUCGGUUCCCAGUAAUGACUGCCGUCCUCUCAGCCAGGCGAUACCUGGUUCUCAUCCAAGAAUUGGCCACUGCACUGGAGAUAAAUUGUUUGGGGAUGACUUAAAGUUUGAGGAUUGGGAGGAGACGUUGUGUUUGAAUCCUGCCUAGAAGGAACUUUCCAGAGACAAGAUGCUGGAGAAUCACAAGACCUGAGUCUCACUGGCAUUUCCAACUGCCCCAAUGUGAUUUCUAAAUUGCGAGAACUCUGGGUCUUGCUUUCCUGAAGACCUAGGAAGAGUUUCUCAUACUGACCCAACCAAGCUGUGAUGUUAUUAGCAUUUUCUACCCACUGUGUCAGAUAACUACACCAAGACCAGCAAGGAGCCAUUGGCUUCAGAAUGUGAGCCUAUGCAGCAGCAGAAGGGUGUAAGACCUUCAGAGAGUCCCUUGAGGAUAGAGGGUACUUGGAAAGACAGCAGAAGGGGAAGAGAAGGAAAGACCCCUUCCUUGGGCAUUGCUUCCACCUGAGUAGAAAUCAGGCAAGGAAAAUCCUCACCAGAGGGAGAGUAUAUAAAACAAAAAGUUGGAGAAAAAUCUCAGCAUUCUGAAAGGAGCACUCUAUAAGAAUUUUAAAUGUAGAUCCUCAACUAAAAGCAUCAAAAUUUGGGAAGGUGAAUAAAUCGUAUGUGUGU
rnacentral:lncRNA from 1 species